rnacentral:rRNA from 1 species
AGUGGCGGACGGGUGAGUAACGCGUGAGGAACCCGCCUUUCAGAGGGGGACAACAGUUGGAAACGACUGCUAAUACCGCAUAACAUAUAGAUGUCGCAUGGCAUUUAUAUCAAAGAUUUAUCGCUGAAAGAUGGCCUCGCGUCUGAUUAGCUAGUUGGUGAGGUAACGGCCCACCAAGGCGACGAUCAGUAGCCGGACUGAGAGGUUGAACGGCCACAUUGGGACUGAGAUACGGCCCAGACUCCUACGGGAGGCAGCAGUGGGGAAUAUUGGGCAAUGGGCGCAAGCCUGACCCAGCAACGCCGCGUGAAGGAAGAAGGCUUUCGGGUUGUAAACUUCUUUUGUCAGGGACGAGUAGAAGACGGUACCUGACGAAUAAGCCACGGCUAACUACGUGCCAGCAGCCGCGGUAAUACGUAGGUGGCAAGCGUUGUCCGGAUUUACUGGGUGUAAAGGGCGUGUAGCCGGGAGGGCAAGUCAGAUGUGAAAUCCACGGGCUCAACUCGUGAACUGCAUUUGAAACUACUCUUCUUGAGUAUCGGAGAGGCAAUCGGAAUUCCUAGUGUA